UGGUUUCUCACAUUCAGGGUGAGCUGCUGCCAGAGAGCAGUACUGUGCAAUGCAGCUCCUGGCAGCUAUUUUCAGGUAUUGUAAUGCCUCAGCUGACUUUUUGUAACUCAUCUUUGUCACUUGGGGUCGUACCAACAGAGGAUCCUGACUCCUCUUUGGCAGCUAAAGUACCAUGGAAAACAGCAUGGGAGUUUCCUUCCAAGGUUCCUUCUUUCCACGGCUCUCCAAGACCCCAAAAGAGGAGAAAAAUUAUUGUGAUGCCUUCCAAGUGUUGUGGCCAUCUUGAGAUAGAUCCUCUUGCAGCGGUGAUGGCCAGCUCUCUUCCCUGCAGUAAUCCAGCCUGCAACUUCCCACCACAAAGACCCCAGCGCUGCCCACAUCACUGUGAACCUGCUGAAUGUGGCUGACGUCCCCAUCACUGGGAUGGGGAUAGGGCCACCAAGUUCAUGUGGCCCUGCAGAGGACGGAUGCCUGCAGCAGUGGAGGUGAGCAAUGGAUGUUACUGUGGACGAGAGCUGCAGACUGUCAUCUUGUCACAGCUCUUUCCAAUGAUGCUAUGUUUGCCUUAUUUUGGGCAGCACGCUUAAUGACCCCUUAGCAUUUACUGCUGCCUUUUUUCAGUUUAAUUGGGGAGAAAAUAAUGUAUUUUUUAAAAAGUUGACAGUCUGUGUUUCACGAAGCAACAACCUGUCUUUUUUCUCCCUGCCCAUACAGUUUGCAUCCACCAGGCUCAACAUUGGCUUUCUACCCUUGAGAUACAAUUGCAGGGUGUGUUAAGCACCCCAAAGGAAGGACUCUCAUUUGGUGUCCAUGCUGCUUAGCUUGGGUCAGGAGGGUUUGUAGCAGAGAUAGAACUUUGAAUGCCCAUGGUGCUGCAGGUGUCUUUGGACCUUCUCCCAGGGAGGGGAGGAGAGGCAUUGGUCUCUACUUUCUGGGUUAAAAUGAAAUAAAAACAGUGCCCUUUUCCCUGUCCUCCUCCCU
rnacentral:lncRNA from 1 species